rnacentral:rRNA from 1 species
UUUGGUGGCGAUAGCGAAGAGGUCACACCCGUUCCCAUGCCGAACACGGAAGUUAAGCUCUUCAGCGCCGAUGGUAGU